CUCAAUGAUGCAUUCAAAGACAAUGGAAGGGAUUCCUCAUGCCGAAGAUAUACAUGUAGAUACAACCUCUUACAAGUUUCAGCCUUGUCUGACU
rnacentral:snoRNA from 1 species